rnacentral:rRNA from 1 species
GAUGAACGCUGGCGGCGUGCUUAACACAUGCAAGUCGAACGAAGCACUCUAUUUGAUUUUCUUCGGAAAUGAAGAUUUUGUGACUGAGUGGCGGACGGGUGAGUAACGCGUGGGUAACCUGCCUCAUACAGGGGGAUGACAGUUGGAAACGACUGCUAAUACCGCAUAAGCGCACAGGAUCGCAUGAUCCGGUGUGAAAAACUCCGGUGGUAUGAGAUGGACCCGCGUCUGAUUAGCCAGUUGGCAGGGUAACGGCCUACCAAAGCGACGAUCAGUAGCCGACCUGAGAGGGUGACCGGCCACGAUUGGGACUGAGACACGGCCCAAAUCCUACGGGAGGCAGCAGUGGGAAUAUUGCACAAUGGGGGAAACCCUGAUGCAGCGACGCCGCGUGAGCGAAGAAGUAUUUCGGAUGUAAAGCUCUAUCAGCAGGG